rnacentral:rRNA from 1 species
CCAGCAGCCGCGGUAAUUCCAGCUCCAAUAGCGUAUAUUAAAGUUGUUGCAGUUAAAAAGCUCGUAGUUGAAUUUCGGGACUAAUAUGUCGGUCAUGCCGUUGGUAUGCACUGUUAUCAUUGAUUUCUCACCUUCUAAAGAACCGUAAUGCCAUUAAUUUGGUGUUACGGGGAAUUAGGACUGUUACCUUGAAAAAAUUAGAGUGUUUAAAGCAGGCUCACGCUUGAAUACAUUAGCAUGGAAUAAUGAAAUAGGACAUCCGAUUCUAUUUUGUUGGUUUCUAGGAUCGAUGUAAUGAUUAAUAGGGAUAGUUGGGGGCAUUAGUAUUCAAUUGUCAGAGGUGAAAUUCUUGGAUUUAUUGAAGACUAACUACUGCGAAAGCAUUUGCCAAGGAUGUUUUCAUUAAUCAAGAACGAAAGUUAGGGGAUCGAAGACGAUCAGAUACCGUCGUAGUCUUAACCAUAAACUAUGCCGACUAGGGAUCGGAUGAUGUUAAUUUUUUAAUGACUCAUUCGGCGCCUUACG